UCGUUUCCGAAUUCAGACAGAGCUUCAUGCGAUUUACGAACUUGACUCUGAUAUCGCCCCACGGUUUGCCUUUUGACAAUGAUUCCGAUGAAAGGAGCGCACGUAUGAUACCCUUCAGAGGUCGAUAUUGUCGAAAUUAUCACCGAUUGGUACCUACCCGUUCUUGGAUCAACGUCGUUUACGGCAUCGUAGCAACGAUUCAGAGGAAAGACAAGUACGUAGCGGUGAUGCAUCAAGGGAACAUAGCGUACGAUUAUUUAAUCCUGACUUGUGGACUUCAGUACCAAAGACCUCGCUUCGAAGAGGAAAUAGAAGAACUGAAAAAAGGAGAAUUCGUGGAUCGCGAAACACCUUGGAAUUGUAUAACGAUCAACGACGAUGUCGAAGCUGCCGCUUGUAUACAGAAGUUGCAAGAUCUGACAGACAAUUUUCAACACGAAAGAAGGAUCAUCUUUUACGGGCAUAACAUCAAUCUCUACUGCGCCCUUCAAGGAUUGUUCGAAAUCGGAUUGAAGGGUUCCUGGGUCACCGCGAUUCAGCCUCCGUUGGAAGCGUGCAUGUUCCAUGACUCUGCCUUUUAUAAUGACUGCGAGGUGUACUUGGAAGUGAUGAAGUCUCUUACGAGAAACAAAGUCGAUGUACUAGUGGGAUGGGAGUUGAUGGGAUGGUACCUGAAGGACGCGCCAGAAGGGAAGAUGAUCGAGGCAGUCGACAUUCAAUACAAAGGCAAAAUAAAAACGAUAGAUUGCGACGCUUUGAUCAAUUUUAACGAGAGGAUCAUUAACAGGAAGAUAUUCAUGGCGAUAUGCAAGGCUGGUCUCGUGUUCGAUGGUCUGUUGGUCAUAGAUCCAGACUUGAGGACGAACGAUAAAUGGAUCUUCGCUGGCGGCAGCAUGACCAAGUAUUGCAAGAAGUUUCACGCGGAGAACUGGGAGCAUUCGUACUUCAACAGUUUGGAGAUAGGCGAGAGAGUUAGUAGAACGAACUUGGAAACUCCUGACUACUAUGAACGAUAAAAAUUUGAUAGCUCGCGAGGAUUCUCCGAUCGGACAUCGACAAACAGCACCGCGGCGACGAGACUCCGUUCGUACCGUUCAAAGGCAAGACGUACUUACCGAUACCCUCGUUCCGUUCGCCGAUUAUCGUGGGAGGCGUCAUGCCCGGUGGUUAUCACUAUCUUCACGUUUGCAGACCCGGCAUACCUGUGCUGCGGAAGUACGCCAUUCAUUAUCACAUUUAUGUGAGCCAUCAUUACGUUAUUUAACACUACGUUAAAUUUGCAAAUUCUUACCUUUACAAACUGCUUUCGAGAAAUUAGGGAGAAGUGAUGAUAACAGGGUCUUGCACGUCUGAUAUCGGUUAUUUACGAAUAAGACUGAAUCGACUCGACACGGUCGAGACAGUCACGUGUUUCAGCAAAAAGGUAAAACUACAGUCUUAUUAUUGCGGGUAUUAUCUAUAUAGUUAACCGGUUUUAGGAAUUUGAGGUACGGCACAUGAUCGCGUUGCACGGGAAGCACGAAAGCUUGUUGAACGAAUUGAAAGCUCGCUUCCACGUAAGUCCACUUCGGUUUAGACAGAUUCUAAUAAUAGAGAAUGAUUUGAUCACGGUAGGAUAGAUUGAUCAUCGAUUUUUACGCGUACUUCCGUGAGCCAUGGGCGUUGGCACUCUUCUAUGAAAAAUUCGAGUGUCUCCGUGUCGAAAACCGAGCUACACUCUUGUCGAGAACGGCCAUUCCCGGACAGUCCCUGAUCAGCGAUUGUAUACGCGCUUUGAAUAAAUCCGAGAUCGGCGGAGUGAGUAUUUACGAAGAACAAAAUCGUCAGGGAUCGAAAUCAAUUUUUUUUUAUAAACGAACCUUUAGAUCGAAGACAGCGACCGACGGAAUAUUCAGGCGAGGUACGCUGGCUCGGUUUACCAGCAAGAGAUCGAGGAGAAUCUGUUGAACUUCCUGCAG